UCCGGUUGAUCCUGCCGGACCUGACUGCUAUCGGAUUGAUACUAAGCCAUGUGAGUCAUUGUAGCAAUACAAGGCAGACGGCUCAGUAACACGUAGCCAAUCUAACCUAUGGACGGGGAUAACCUCGGGAAACUGAGGAUAAACCCCGAUAGAUCAUUAUGCCUGGAACGGUUUAUGGUCCAAAUGAUUCGUCGCCGUAGGAUGAGACUGCGGCCUAUCAGCUUGUUGGUGAGGUAAUGGCCCACCAAGGCUAUUACCGGUACGGGCUCUGAGAGGAGAAGCCCGGAGAUGGGUACUGAGACACGGACCCAGGCCCUAUGGGGCGCAGCAGGCGAGAAACCUUUGCAAUGUGCGCAAGCACGACAAGGUUAAUCCGAGUGUUUCCUGCUAAAGGAAUCUUUUGUUAGUCUUAAAAUCACUAUUGAAUAAGGGGUGGGCAAGUUCUGGUGUCAGCCGCCGCGGUAAAACCAGCACCUCAAGUGGUCAGGAGGAUUAUUGGGCCUAAAGCAUCCGUAGCCUGAUCUGUAAGUUUCCGGUUAAAUUCAUUAGCUCAACUAAUGGCCUGCCGGAAAUACUGCAGAUCUAGGAAGUGGGAGAGGUAGACGGUACUCGGUAGGAAGGGGUAAAAUCCUUUGAUCUAUUGAUGACCACCUGUGGCGAAGGCGGUCUACCAGAACACGUUCGACGGUGAGGGAUGAAAGCUGGGGGAGCAAACCGGAUUAGAUACCCGGGUAGUCCCAGCUGUAAACGAUGCAGACUCGGUGAUGCGCUGGCUUGUGGCCAGUGCAGUGCCGCAGGGAAGCCGUUAAGUUUGCCGCCUGGGAAGUACGUACGCAAGUAUGAAACUUAAAGGAAUUGGCGGGGGAGCACCACAAGGGGUGAAGCCUGCGGUUCAAUUGGAGUCAACGCCGGA
rnacentral:rRNA from 1 species